rnacentral:rRNA from 1 species
GAAACCAACAGGGAUUGCCUCAGUAACGGCGAGUGAAGCGGCAACAGCUCAAAUUUGAAAUCUGGCCCCCUCGGGGUCCGAGUUGUAAUUUGUAGAGGGUGCUUCGGCUUACGGCGCGGUCUAAGUUCCUUGGAACAGGACGUCACAGAGGGUGAGAAUCCCGUACGUGGCCGCGCCCUCCGCCAUGUGAAGCCCCUUCGACGAGUCGAGUUGUUUGGGAAUGCAGCUCUAAAUGGGAGGUAAAUUUCUUCUAAAGCUAAAUAUCAGCCAGAGACCGAUAGCGCACAAGUAGAGUGAUCGAAAGAUGAAAAGCACUUUGGAAAGAGAGUUAAAAAGUACGUGAAAUUGUUGAAAGGGAAGCGCUUGCGACCAGACUUGACCGCGGAUGCUCAGCCGGCCCUCCGGCCGGUGUACUCUUCCGCGGUCAGGCCAGCAUCGGUUUGGGCGGCCGGAUAAAGGCCCCGGGAAUGUGGCUCCCCUCGGGGAGUGUUAUAGCCCAGGGUGCAAUGCGGCCCGCCCGGACCGAGGACCGCGCUUCGGCUAGGAUGCUGGCGUAAUGGUCGUAAGCGGCCCGUCUUGAAACACGGACCAAGGAGUCUAACAUCUAUGCGAGUGUUUGGGUGUCAAACCCGUGCGCGUAAUGAAAGUGAACGGAGGUGGGAACCCUUUGGGCGCACCAUCGACCGAUCCUGAUGUCUUCGGAUGGAUUUGAGUAAGAGCAUAGCUGUUGGGACCCGAAAGAUGGUGAACUAUGCGCGGAUAGGGUGAAGCCAGAGGAAACUCUGGUGGAGGCUCGCAGCGGUUCUGACGUGCAAAUCGAUCGUCAAAUCUACGC